UACGGAGGAUCCGAGCGUUAUCCGGAUUUAUUGGGUUUAAAGGGAGCGUAGGUGGAUUGUUAAGUCAGUUGUGAAAGUUUGCGGCUCAACCGUAAAAUUGCAGUUGAAACUGGCAGUCUUGAGUACAGUAGAGGUGGGCGGAAUUCGUGGUGUAGCGGUGAAAUGCUUAGAUAUCACGAAGAACUCCGAUUGCGAAGGCAGCAUACCGGCGCCCGACUGACGCUGAGGCACGAAAGCGUGGGGAUCGAACAGG
rnacentral:rRNA from 1 species